rnacentral:rRNA from 1 species
UACGGAGGGGGCUAGCGUUUGUUCGGAAUUACUGGGCGUAAGGCGCACGUAGGCGGCUUUGUAAGUUAGAGGUGAAAGCCCGGGGUCAACUCCGGAAUUGCCUUUUAAGACUGCAUCGCUAGAAUUGUGGAGAGGUAAGUGGAAUUCCGAGUGUAGAGGUGAAAUUCGUAGAUAUUCGGAAGAACACCAGUGGCGAAGGCGACUUACUGGACACAUAUUGACGCUGAGGUGCGAAAGCGUGGGGAGCAAACAGG